AAAAAUUUAGUUAAAAAAUAACAGUAGCUUGUCAUGCUAAAAUUAUUAACUAAUUAAUAAUUUUUA
rnacentral:tRNA from 1 species